rnacentral:snRNA from 10 species
GGAUGUGAGGGCGAUCUGGAUGCGACAUCUGUCACCACAUUGAUCACCAGUGUUGAUCCAGCUGAUCUGGCUGGCUAGGUGGGUAUCCUCUUCCUCCCUCAUUGCUCCAUGUGCAUCCCUCCGGAAGCUGCACACUCAGUCAAGGAGGAUGACCAUCCCACAUAGGGGAGGACCAGUCUUCGGUCAAGGGUAUACGAGUAGCUGUGCUCCCCUGCUAGAACCUCCCAACAAGCUCUCAAAAUAAGAAAUAAGAAAGGCAAAGUCACCAAAAAACAUCUUCUUAAAAGUCAUGUAAGACUACUUUGCAGA